GACGAACGCUGGCGGCGUGCUUAACACAUGCAAGUCGAACGGAAAGGCCCUGCUUUUGUGGGGUGCUCGAGUGGCGAACGGGUGAGUAACACGUGAGUAACCUGCCCUUGACUUUGGGAUAACUUCAGGAAACUGGGGCUAAUACCGGAUAGGAGCUCCUGCUGCAUGGUGGGGGUUGGAAAGUUUCGGCGGUUGGGGAUGGACUCGCGGCUUAUCAGCUUGUUGGUGGGGUAGUGGCUUACCAAGGCUUUGACGGGUAGCCGGCCUGAGAGGGUGACCGGCCACAUUGGGACUGAGAUACGGCCCAGAAUCCAACGGGAGGCAGCAGUGGGGAAUAUUGCACAAUGGGCGGAAGCCUGAUGCAGCAACGCCGCGUGCGGGAUGACGGCCUUCGGGUUGUAAACCGCUUUCGAAUGUGACGAAGCGUGAGUGACGGUAAUGGGUAAAGAAGCACCGGCUAACUACGUG
rnacentral:rRNA from 1 species